CACAGGGCUCCUCUUCCGGGGAGAUUCUCAAUUCCUCGCCUCUCAUUCUAAAUCUCUCAAAAUCUCCAUUCCUCAGAUCCGGCCAUUGCUCUACCAAAUUGAUAUUGCAUGUGAGUAAAUCGGGUCGCUCGAGCGCACAGUAGGUUGUGUUUCUAACUCAUCUUGCUCGUUUCCUUCUGUGCUGCUGCAUACCAUCGCCGUUGGCUCCCACUGAGCUGGAGCGAUGCGUCCGGUGGAGGCCGCUCCGCACACGCUGAGGAGCAUGAUUUAAUCGGGUCGCUGGAGCACAUGGUAGGCUGGUUUUCCAAUCCUCCCUCGGCCUCGUUUCCUCCUGCUACUGCUGCAUCCCUUCGUGCUUCGUUGUUAGGCCAUGUUUAGUUUCCACCAAAAUCCCAACUUUGACACUAUGCAAAAAGAAGAUUCCCCAUCACAUCAAACUUGCGAUACAUGCAUGGAGUACUAAAUGUAGAUGAAAUCAAAAACUAAUUGCACAGUUUUGUUGUACUUUGCGAGACGAAUCUUUUGAGCCUAAUUAGUCAAUUUUUGGACAAUAAUUCACAAAUACAAACGAAAUGCUACAGUUGCGCAUUUAUGACAAACUCCCAACUUUGACACUCCCAAAUUGGGAACUAAACAAGGCCUUACCUCCGAUGGAGCACACAGGAUGCGGGCCGCCGGAGGCCGCUAGCUCCUUCGCACGCGCCGCGACUGGAGGUUGCUUUCCUCCUCACAGAUUGGUGUAGGUUGCUUCUAUCCUUGCGGGUGGAGGAAUAACGG
rnacentral:lncRNA from 1 species